GAAAGAUGGUUUCGGCUAUCGCUUACAGAUGGGCCCGCGGUGCAUUAGCUAGUUGGUAGGGUAAUGGCCUACCAAGGCAACGAUGCAUAGCCGACCUGAGAGGGUGAUCGGCCACACUGGGACUGAGACACGGCCCAGACUCCUACGGGAGGCAGCAGUAGGGAAUCUUCCGCAAUGGACGAAAGUCUGACGGAGCAACGCCGCGUGUAUGAAGAAGGUUUUCGGAUCGUAAAGUACUGUUGUUAGAGAAGAACAAGGAUAAGAGUAACUGCUUGUCCCUUGACGGUAUCUAACCAGAAAGCCACGGCUAACUACGUGCCAGCAGCCGCGGUAAUACGUAGGUGGCAAGCGUUGUCCGGAUUUAUUGGGCGUAAAGCGCGCGCAGGCGGUCUUUUAAGUCUGAUGUGAAAGCCCCCGGCUUAACCGGGGAGGGUCAUUGGAAACUGGAAGACUGGAGUGCAGAAGAGGAGAGUGGAAUUCCACGUGUAGCGGUGAAAUGCGUAGAUAUGUGGAGGAACACCAGUGGCGAAGGCGACUCUCU
rnacentral:rRNA from 1 species